AUUGACCGCUGACGGCAGGCCUAACACAUGCAAGUCGAACGAGUGGCGGACGGGUGAGUAAUGUCUGGGAAAAUGCCCGAUGGAGGGGGAUAACUACUGGAAACGGUAGCUAAUACCGCAUACCAUCGGAUGUGCCCAGAUGGGAUUAGCUAGUAGGUGGGGUAACGGCUCCCGAAGGCGACGAUCCCUAGCUGGUCUGAGCGGAUGACCAGCCACACUGGAACUGAGACACGGUCCAGACGCAUACGGGAGGCAGCAGGGGGGAAUAUUGCACAAUGGGCGCAAGCCUGAUGCAGCCAUGCCGAGUGGAUGAAGAAGGCCUUCGGGUUGUAAAGUACUUUCAGCGAGGAGGCGUUACUCGCAGAAGAAGCACCGGCUAACUCCGUGCCAGCCGCCGCGGUAAUUC
rnacentral:rRNA from 1 species